UAGGGAAUAUUGCACAAUGGGCGAAAGCCUGAUGCAGCAACGCCGCGUGCGCGAUGACGGCCUUCGGGUUGUAAAGCGCUUUUCGGGGAGUUGGGGAAGGAAAGUAUUCCCGGAAUAAGGCCCGGCUAAUUAGGUGCCAGAGCCCGCGGUAACACGUAGGGGCCAAGCGUUACCCGAAUCCAACGGGCGUAAAGCGCGUGUAGGCGGCUUGGUAAGUUGGAUGUGAAAGCUCCUGGCUCAACUGGGAGAGGACGUUCAAUACUGCCGGGCUAGAGGGCGACAGAGGGAGGUGGAAUUCCCGGUGUAGUGGUGAAAUGCGUAGAUAUCGGGAGGAACACCAGUGGCGAAAGCGGCCUCCUGGGUCGCACCUGACGCUCAGACGCGAAAGCUAGGGGAGCGAACGG
rnacentral:rRNA from 1 species